rnacentral:misc_RNA from 1 species
UUUCCGUAGGUGAACCUGCGGAAGGAUCAUUAACGUAUCUCUGGCGGGGAAAGCGCGAGCCCUGCUCCGGCCCCACUCGGUGCCGCGCAGCGGGCGGACGCCCCCGUCCAACCUUUCAAACCCCUGUGCACUUUAACGGUGGAGGGCGUCUCUGGCGAGAGCCGGGCGUCGGAAGCCGUGCCUUUACAAACUCGAACUUCUUAACAGAAUGAACUGCGGCCUUAGCGUCGCCUAACAAACGAAACAACUUUCAACAACGGAUCUCUUGGCUCUC